rnacentral:rRNA from 1 species
AUUGAACGCUGGCGGCAUGCCUUACACAUGCAAGUCGAACGGUAACGGGUCCUUCGGGAUGCCGACGAGUGGCGAACGGGCGAGUAAUAUAUCGGAACGUGCCCAGUAGUGGGGGAUAACUGCUCGAAAGAGCAGCUAAUACCGCAUACGACCUGAGGGUGAAAGGGGGGGAUCGUAAGCCCUCUCGCUAUUGGAGCGGCCGAUAUCAGAUUAGCUAGUUGGUGGGGUAAAGGCCUACCAAGGCAACGAUCUGUAGUUGGUCUGAGAGGACGACCAGCCACACUGGGACUGAGACACGGCCCAGACUCCUACGGGAGGCAGCAGUGGGGAAUUUUGGACAAUGGGCGCAAGCCUGAUCCAGCAAUGCCGCGUGCAGGAAGAAGGCCUUCGGGUUGUAAACUGCUUUUGUCAGGGAAGAAAUCUUCUGGGCUAAUACCCCGGGAGGAUGACGGUACCUGAAGAAUAAGCACCGGCUAACUACGUGCCAGCCGCCGCCGUAA